CCCCAGCCCAUACCUGCAUGUGCUCCGCGCAGUACAAAGGGCGGCCCGCAGCCGUCCCCCUCGCGCACUCCGCAGCCGGAGCGCGGCCGGCGGGGGGGCGAGGGAGCGCGCGGAGAACAAUAAGCCCGAAGACAAGUCGUACCUUCUGCUUUCUUUACACUGCGAACCCCGGUUUCCUCACGAGCCUACAGCGAGGCUGACCGCUUUGAAGAGGCGGGAGAGAUGGGAGAAAGUUGCCUCGAUCUCUCCGGAUAAAGUUGCCGAAGAUGAGCUAAUCCGGGAGAGAUGCGGAGUUCACCCGAGUUUCUCCUUUUGUUCAAGUUGCCCGAGCAGACAAAGAGCCGCCGGCGGCGGCAGGUCCCCGCUCCCCCACUCCCCCCCCCUCCCGGCUGGGUCCCGCCGUGCCCUCUCCCCUCAUCGCCCCAUGGCCCCCCCAACUUUCCACCUCCUCCAUCCCUCCUCGGCCCUGGCGCAAAACUUCCCUCACACUGAACCUCCUGGAAGAAAGAAAAAAAAAAAAAAGGAAAAAAAAAUUCAAGGCUGGUUGAGGGGUGGAAAGGGAGAGCAACAUCUCUCAAAUCAUUAUUUCCGGUAGAUGCACCUCUUUGUUUGGAUUCCCCCGACUGUCAGUGAGGACAGCCUCUGGGUAUCGGUUAGUCGAAGCGCACAGAAUGAGACGGGCAAACGCGGGCCGUAAAGGAAAACAAGUUUGGGAGAAGAAAAAGGAAAGAAAGAAAAAAAAUAAAAAAAAAAAGGGAGAGAAGAAAGAAAACCUCCGGAGUUGCGAAACGAACCCUUUAUACAUGGACACGGGAAGUACAUAAAUAAACAACUGGAGGGGAAUUUGGGAAGACUGUUGCAUCUCCUCCCCCCUCCCCUUCGUACAUUUGCCGAGAAAAGAGCCAAGGAGCCCCCCAAAGCCCCGUGCCGCGGCCGGCCUCUGGCAUCCCUACCUGUUGCGUAAAGCGCGAAGCAGGGGCCGACAGCAUCCGUCCCGAAGAAACCGAAGGAUAAGGACCCGCGCCCCCUCACCUGCCCCCGGACGCCCCCACGGGGAUAGGAGCAAGACUCCAGAGCAAAGCUGUUCCUGACCCUGGGCAUCCCUACACCAGCAAGACCUUGUGCCCUGUGUCAGAUCUUCUGGGAGAGCCGGACUGCAUGGACUCAGGGCUGCAGCCUUUAAGAGGAAGAAGAUGGAUGACAGACUUCUCCCUGCUACCCCACCAGAGGCCAUGCAAGUGGAAAGAACCUUCCCCUAGCCCCAGGCUGACAGAGCUAUCAGAGGGAAUCUUUGCAAAUUCAGCACAUACCAAACAAUGGGGAUUUUCCUCUGUGUGAUGAGACAUACUCCUGAUCACAGCCCUGGCAAGUCAGUUCCAUUCUGCUGCUUUCAUUCUGGCCAGCUGGUAUCAGCCUCCUGCAUCUCCAAGUCUUAUGAGUUUGACCCUUUUCCUGUGGAAAUAGGUAUGACAAAAAUACCUGUCAUUGUGAAGGACAACAGAAUAUAACUUGUUUUUGCGAGAAAUACCAGGGUCACUCUAAGCUCAGAAAUACUGUGGCAGCUCCAGUAAAACCAGCAAAGUAAAUAUAGACACAAGAUAAACUAUCUGGUCUUCCCUUUGCCUGUGACCUCUAUUACUUUCCCUGUUUCUCUGACUAUAACCUCAGUAAGUGUAUUUUUGAUCCUUCAGUUAAUAUGAUUAUCAGGCUUCACACUGCCACUGCUCUCAAAUUUUCCAGAUGGCAUUUCAUCUGGAAAGUUACAACCCUGUUCUGCUUGUUAUUUAUUUAACAACUGUGCUUUUGACUAAUACAGAAUACUCUCAGUAACAAAUCUAUAUUCAUCAAAGUUCAGAUAUUCAGUGUUAGCAAUUUAUUUUGAUUUUGUCACCAUUUACACAAAGUUAUUUACCUACCCUUCUAGCAUUUUUCAAAGUACUCUGUUGCUUUAAUACACACUUACUAAAAUACAAACUGUACUUAAAGCCAUCCUCUGGAGGAGUCCCCGUCCUGAAUGAAGUUCUGUGGCACAACUGAACUACAUGAAAUGACAGUGGCAGUCUCCUAAGGGUGAAUUUACCUCUGUGUUAAUGAACGAAUAGAAUAGACAUACGGAGUCUCAGUGAGAUAGUCCUUAUGCUCCCUUAGGAAAGUUGAGGUGCUACGUUGAUAAUUGAACACUGGUAAAAGACAGAUUAUUUUUCUUAAACCCACGAUUUUGCAGUAGGGAUUCAGUCCAUCUUCCAGUGGAAUGUCUGAAAAAGUUUCAUAGACACCAGAACUGAUAUUGCCUGUCACUAUGCAAACCGAAAACCGCUUCGUCACUCUAUAAAUGAAAGCUCCAGCCACACUAUAGCAAGCACCAAUGCAAGUGAAUUUAGGCACAAAUGUAACUACCAGAUUUAAGCUAAAUUUUGAGAGACCAGAUCAAGAAGGGUGCAAGCUCCAAAGGCAACAACUUGAAACUCUAACUUAGCUCUAACUCCUUUCUUCACCUUCUUUUCUCUGCGUAGUGUCAUUUUUAACAAAAUGUGCCAAAUUACAAGUCAUAAAAGCCCAAGUAUGUAAGCUGCAAAUCUGGUGCUUUCCACAAGGCCAGAAGUGUCAUGAAAGAAAAACGCCAUCCAUAAUAUGGGACUGUUUGGAAUCAGAUUAGAGAGACCUAGAAUUCGUCAGCAACUUCUGCCCAUAAGGUCAAAUUAUGAAGUCUGUACUUACUACAUAUAAACACACUCCAUUUCCAGAUUCUGCCCCCCACAGACACAGCAUAAUCUAUGACGUCCAUCAGUCAUCAGCUAGUUUAUAUCAGACUCCUACUAUACCUACAUAAAUAUGUUGAAUAUUUGGAAUAAUACAUUCACAAAGCAAUGAUCAUAUUUAUUUAUAUUUUACAAAGAGAAAAAAAAAUGUGAGAGAGUAAAGAUAGGCUGCCUUCAUAGCCAUUACAGGGAAAGUGUGGAGAAAUCACCAGAAACCCCCACCAGGGGAGAGAUAUGGAGCUUUUGGAAAGAGUCCAGAAGAAGGCCAUGAAGAUGAUCCAAGGGCUCCGGCAUGAAGAUCUAUGAAGAUAGGCUGAAGAGACUGAGCUUGUUCAGCCUGGAAAAGAGGAGGCUAUGGGAAAACCUCAUUGCAGCCUUCCCAUAUUUAAAGGGAGAUUGAAACAGGAGGAAAAACUACUUUUUACACAAGUAGAUAGUUAUAGAAUGAAGGGGAAUGGUUUUAAACUAAAGGAAGAGAGGCUUACAGUGGAUGUCAGGGAGAAGUUUUUACUGGGAGAGUGGUGAGGUGCUGGGACAGGCUUCCCAGAGAGGUUGUGGAUGCCCCAUUGCUGGAGGCAUUUAAGGCCAGGUUGGAUGGGGCCCUGGGCAAUCUGAUCUCAUGCUUAAUUUAGCAGCUGGCAACCCUGCCUGUAGCAGUGGGGUUGGAACUUGAUGAUCCUUGAGGUCCCUUCCAACCUAAGCCAUUCUAUGAUUCUAAACAUGAAGAGAGCUAAAUAUUCUCUAGAUAAAAGAAAGGCAGAGAAGGAAUGACUAUCUGAAGGGCAGCCCCAUGUGCAGAAGCUGGGAAUGGAUACCCACAGGGCCCAGACAUGGGGUCACCAACCUCAAGGUUGCUGCCAUGUCAGGACCUGCGUGGGCAGCUGGCCAAUGCGAUACAGGAGGUUCCUCCACUUCCUUUCUUUGGUCACCAACCUGCCAUGAGGUUUGAAUGGCUUCUAUCUCUAAUGGGGACCUGGAGGAAAGACAUUCAUCCUAUCACAAGCCUCCUGAGCCAUCUCAACUCCAACACAGCAGUUUUUUAAAAAUUCUUAAGCUUACUUCACACAGAUAUAAAUAAUUAUACAGACAAUACAAGUCAAAGAAGAGUCAGGCACUAAAUACUGAUAGAAAGCCUUAUUCCUCCUUUCUUCAGUGAAAACUCUAGAUCUCUGUUCUGCAUUAUUCAUUCAGUAAUCCACCUCUGUGAUACACAUGUAAGAGCUGUUUCAACAAUUUAUGAGCUUUAGUGAUGGCUGAAUAAUCACAUUUUAUAGUCUGAUACAGAUAUCAGAAACACCUGAUACAAAAAAGAUUGUGGUAGGUUAUUUCAUGAAAGGCUAAUGCAUCAAAAAGUCCAAGUUGGAAGGCAUUGGAAGGAGUUAAGGGAAAUUCUUUCUGCUCUUACAUUAUCUAUCAUUACAUCAGUAACACAGUCCUUGAGGUUUGCAAUUGCCCAGC
ensembl:lncRNA